AGACCCGAAACCCGGUGAUCUAGCCAUGGGCAGGUUGAAGGUUGGGUAACACUAACUGGAGGACCGAACCGACUAAUGUUGAAAAAUUAGCGGAUGACCUGUGGCUGGGGGUGAAAGGCCAAUCAAACCGGGAGAUAGCUGGUUCUCCCCGAAAGCUAUUUAGGUAGCGCCUCGUGAACUCAUCUCCGGGGGUAGAGCACUGUUUCGGCUAGGGGGCCAUCCCGGCUUACCAACCCGAUGCAAACUGCGAAUACCGGAGAAUGUUAUCACGGGAGACACACGGCGGGUGCUAACGUCCGUCGUGAAGAGGGAAACAACCCAGACCGCCAGCUAAGGUCCCAAAGUCAUGGUUAAGUGGGAAACGAUGUGGGAAGGCCCAGACAGCCAGGAUGUUGGCUUAGAAGCAGCCAUCAUUUAAAGAAAGCGUAAUAGCUCACUGGUCGAGUCGGCCUGCGCGGAAGAUGUAACGGGGCUAAACCAUGCACCGAAGCUGCGGCAGCGAACGUAUCACUUAAAACGAUUCAGAAGCUUACGAUUGACGGAGCGAAGCGACGUCAAAGCGUAUACAAAGUCGAGUCGGUUUAAGGAUACGUUCGUUGGGUAGGGGAGCGUUCUGUAAGCCUGCGAAGGUGGCCUGUGAGGGUUGCUGGAGGUAUCAGAAGUGCGAAUGCUGACAUAAGUAACGAUAAAGCGGGUGAAAAGCCCGCUCGCCGGAAGACCAAGGGUUCCUGUCCAACGUUAAUCGGGGCAGGGUGAGUCGACCCCUAAGGCGAGGCCGAAAGGCGUAGUCGAUGGGAAACGGGUUAAUAUUCCCGUACUUGGUGUUACUGCGAAGGGGGGACGGAGAAGGCUAUGUUGGCCGGGCGACGGUUGUCCCGGUUUAAGCGUGUAGGCUGACUUUCCAGGCAAAUCCGG
rnacentral:rRNA from 1 species